rnacentral:siRNA from 1 species
AUCAAAUCAAAAGUCUCGAUAUGG